GGAGGGUUAGCGUAACUGGCAACGCAGCAGACUUGAAAUCUGCCGCCCCUUGACCGGGGCUUGGGGGUUCGAGUCCCUCACCCUCCG
rnacentral:tRNA from 1 species